rnacentral:rRNA from 1 species
UACGGAGGGUGCAAGCGUUAUCCGGAUUCACUGGGUUUAAAGGGUGCGUAGGUGGGCCUGUAAGUCAGCGGUGAAAUCUCCGGGCUUAACCCGGAAACUGCCAUUGAUACUAUAGGUCUUGAAUUAUCUGGAGGUAAGCGGAAUAUGUCAUGUAGCGGUGAAAUGCUUAGAUAUGACAUAGAACACCGAUUGCGAAGGCAGCUGGCUACAGGAAUAUUGACACUGAGGCACGAAAGCGUGGGGAUCAAACAGG